rnacentral:tRNA from 1 species
GCCUGGCUGGCUCAGGUGGUAGAGCAUGGAACUCUUGAUCUUGAGACUGUGAGUUCAAGUCUCACGCUGGGCA